rnacentral:rRNA from 1 species
CAGAGGGUGCAAGCGUUGCUCGGAUUUACUGGGCGUAAAGCGUACGCAGACGGUGAAGAAGGUCGGAUGUGAAAGCCCCGGGCUCAACCCGGGAACUGCAUCCGAAACCGCUUCGCUAGAGUAUGGGAGAGGAAAGCGGAAUUCCUGGUGUAGAGGUGAAAUUCGUAGAUAUCAGGAGGAACACCUGCGGCGAAGGCGGCUUUCUGGCCCAUUACUGACGUUCAGGUACGAAAGCGUGGGUAGCAAACAGGAUUAGAUACCCUGGUAGUCCACGCCGUAAACGAUGUGUGCUGGAUGUCGGGGGUAUUCACCCCCUCGGUAUUGAAGUCAACGCGAUAAGCACACCGCCUGGGGAGUACGGCCGCAAGGUUG